UACGAAGGGGGGCUAGCGUUGCUCGGAAUCACUGGGCGUAAAGGGUGCGUAGGCGGGUCUUUAAGUCAGGGGUGAAAUCCUAGAGCUCAACUCCAGAACUGCCUUUGAUACUGAAGAUCUUGAGUUCGGGAGAGGUGAGUGGAACUGCGAGUGUAGAGGUGAAAUUCGUAGAUAUUCGCAAGAACACCAGUGGCGAAGGCGGCUCACUGGCCCGAUACUGACGCUGAGGCACGAAAGCGUGGGGAGCAAACAGG
rnacentral:rRNA from 1 species